rnacentral:rRNA from 1 species
GACGAACGCUGGCGCCGCGUUCAACAUACGCAAGUCGAACGGACAGGCCCCCUUGGGGGUACUCGAGUGGCCAACGGGUGAGUAACACGUGAGUAACCUGCCCUUGAAUUCGGAAUAACUUCAGGCCACUGGGGCUAAUACCGGACAGGAAUCCCCGCUGCAUGGUGGGGGUUGGAAAGCUUCGGCGGUUCUGGCUGGACUCGCGGCUUAUCAGCUUGUUGGUGGGGUAGUGGCUUACCAAGGCCUUGACGGGUAGCCGGCCUGACAGGGCGACCGGCCACAUUGGGGCUGAGAGACGGCCCAGACUCCGACGGGAGGCAGCAGUGGAGAAUAUUGCACAAUGGGCGGAAGCCUAAUGCAGCAACGCCGCGUGCGGGAUGACGUCCUUCGGGUUGUAAGCCGCUGUCAGCAGGGGCGAAGCUUGUGGUGACGGUACCUUCAGAAGAAGCACCGGCUAACUACGUG